rnacentral:misc_RNA from 1 species
GGCACGAGGUUUAGCUACACUCGUGCC